rnacentral:misc_RNA from 1 species
GCCAACUGCCCGCUCCGCCCCACACCAAACGAGGUCACCAAAAGCAAGCCAGUCUUGCAAUAUAUUGCAAAGUCCUCACAGUUGUUCUUGAAAAGGCAAUACGCACCAAAUCCAUUGUUGAGUAGAUACUUGGCGCGAUGGAGUACCUCCUCAGAGGGGUCUGAGAGAGCAAGAGUGCAGGUUCCGCCACGAGCUUUGGCGAGGAAGAAAGCUGGUGAGACUGCGUAGUGGAAAACGUAGAGAUUACCGCCAGAGAGAAAGCAGUCAAGACAGGAACAGAGGACUCCAUGAAGCUUGCUCUGAUCACCGCAUCGCUCACACACCGUGCCUGUAUUCGCUGGAGAGGAGGAGCUGAAAAGGACUCCAUCUAAGAAUGUUCCUGUUCCCAUCUCCUGGCCCGCGGCACGUGUGUAGUGUAUCACCAUACCAUCUCCUAUGUAAAUCCCGUGGUGGGCGUAGAUGUAGGCAGUGCGCCACGAGUAGAUGUGGUCCCCCGGCUUCAGCUCCUCCCGAUCGACCAUGUUCGACAACACCCCCAUUCCUCCCGGUUCGUUUCAGCGGUGGCGGUGGCGGCGUCGGAUGAGGAGGGCGAGACGGCGGUGGUAGUGAUAUCGA